rnacentral:rRNA from 1 species
GCCAUGCAUGUCUAAGUAUAAACAAAUCUAUACUGUGAAACUGCGAAUGGCUCAUUAUAUCAGUUAUAGUUUAUUUGAUGGUUCUUGCUACUUGGAUAACCGUAGUAAUUCUAGAGCUAAUACAUGCACCAAACCUCGACUUUUUUGGAAGAGGUGUAUUUAUUAGAUGGAAACCAAUGCGGGGCAACCCGGAUUCAGGUGAUUCAUAAUAACUUUCGGAUCGAUCUUCGGAUCGAUGCAUCAUUCAAGUUUCUGCCCUAUCAGCUUUGGAUGGUAGGGUAUUGGCCUACCAUGGCUUUAACGGGUAACGGAGAAUUAGGGUUCGAUUCCGGAGAGGGAGCCUGAGAAACGGCAACCACAUCCAAGGAAGGCAGCAGGCGCGUAAAUUACCCAAUCCUGACACAGGGAGGUAGUGACAAUAAAUAACAAUGCCGGGCCUUUUUAAGUCUGGCAAUUGGAAUGAGAACAAUUUAAAUCCCUUAUCGAGGAUCAAUUGGAGGGCAAGUCUGGUGCCAGCAGCCGCGGUAAUUCCAGCUCCAAUAGCGUAUACUAAAGUUGUUGCAGUUAAAAAGCUCGUAGUUGAAUUUCUGGUCGUGGCGAUCGGUCCGCCCCUCACGGGGUGUGCACCAGGUCUCUACGUCCAUCCUCGGGGAGAGCACGUCUGGCAUUUAGUUGUCGGGCGUGGGAUCCUCGUCAUUUACUGUGAGCAAAAUAGAGUGUUCAAAGCAGGCUUAGGCCGUUGAAUACAUUAGCAUGGAAUAAUAAGAUAGGACCUUGGUCUAUUUUGUUGGUUUGCAUUC